UUCACGCGCCUCUGCUGCCCCCUGCUGCUCUCAUGAAGGGUUUCACUUUCUCCAUCUGCAGGCGUUCGUUUUUUGAAACAGACACCGAUUCUUGUUAUUUUCAAAGCCUGCUUCUACAAGAAAACCUCAGAAUCAAGUGCUAGUGUUGUGACAGUAUCACACUGAACAUGGCAGCCCCUGAUUAUAUGAUUAUAUCAUCAUAAGAGGAUUAUUUCGGGUGUAUAAUCACGCGCAUAUGCCCUUGACACAGGAGAACUCGGUGCUGAUCCAUGUGCAAGAGAGAAGCUGAUAUAUUAAAACAACAGUCAGGUGAUGAUGGACGGUCGAUUAGUACAACAGACCGUCAUUAGUUGUUAAAGUCGGCAUGAAACAGAAGUUGCGCUGGUCUUUUGUCGCCUAUUGAGCCGUAUAUCCGAGUGAAACGCUUCUCAAACAAGAACAAAUGUAGGGCGCGUCAACAGUCAACUUACUGAGAAAUCACUGUUUAAGGACUACAACAAACGGCUGGUAGGAACUACAAGCCUCUUUCCAGAUGGACACUCACGGAGCGCGGCUGUCCGGAGAACCUGCGGUUGUAAUCGUUGAUGUCGGUGAGGAUCAGAGCCGGCUCCACCUGCCCGUCUGGAGUCUGAGCGCUGCGGCCGUUGUCUUGGAAAAGCGGAAAGAGCAGGGUCACCUGACAAACCAAUAAAGGUCAAGGGUCAGGCCACAUACAGACUGGAUUAUGAUGAUAUAUGUGACAUAUAUAUGAUAUAUGCAUCUUUAUCAUUAGGAUACGUACCAAAAACUUUUAAGCUGGCUAUUAUUAAACCUCUUAUUAAAAAACCACAACUUGAUCCUAGAGAAUUAGUCAAUUACAGGCCGAUCUCAAAUCUCACUUUUCUGUCAAAAAUACUAGAAAAGGCAGUAUCAUCACAGCUAUGUUCCUUUUUAGAAAGAAAUGGUAUCUGUGAGGAUUUCCAGUCAGGAUUUAGACCGUACCAUAGUACUGAGACUGCUCUCAUUAGAGUUACUAAUGAUUUGCUCUCAUCAUCAGAUCGUGGUUGUAUCUCUCUAUUAGUGUUACUGGAUCUUAGUGCUGCAUUUGACACUAUUGAUCACAAUAUUCUUUUAAAUAGACUCGAAAAUUAUGUUGGCAUUAGUGGAAUUGCAUUGUCAUGGUUCAAAUCAUACUUAUCUGACCGUUAUCAGUUUGUAGUAGUAAACGAAGACAUGUCAUAUCGAUCACAAGUUCAAUAUGGAGUACCACAAGGCUCAGUACUAGGACCGUUGCUGUUCACUCUGUACAUGCUACCCUUGGGAGAUAUCAUUAGGAAGCAUGGCGUUAGUUUUCACUGUUACGCUGAUGAUACUCAGCUCUAUAUUUCUUCGCGCCCUGACGAAACUUACCAAUUCACAAAAUUAACGGAAUGCAUAACUGAUAUAAAAAAAUUGGAUGACCAGUAAUUUCCUACUACUAAAUUCAGAAAAAACAGAGAUUCUAAUUUUUGGACCAAAAACUUCUUCACGUAAUAACCUAGAAUAUUGUCUAACACUUGAUGGCUGCUCUGUUAAGUCUUCGUCGUCAGUUAGGAACCUGGGUGUGCUCUUUGAUACCAAUCUUUCAUUUGAAGGCCAUGUUACUAGCAUCUGUAAAACCGCAUUCUUCCAUCUUAAAAAUAUAUCUAAACUACGACAUAUGCUCUCAAUGAAAAAUGCAGAACAGUUAGUUCAUGCGUUCAUGACCUCAAGGCUAGAUUACUGUAACGCUCUACUGGGUGGUUGUUCUGCUCGCCUGAUAAAUAAACUCCAGCUGGUCCAAAAUGCAGCAGCUAGAGUUCUUACUAGAACCAGGAAGUAUGACCAUAUUAGCCCAGUUCUGUCAACACUGCAUUGGCUUCCUGUUAAACAUCGUAUAGAUUUUAAAAUCUUGCUAAUUACUUACAAAGCACUAAAUGGUUUAGCUCCCCAGUACCUGAGCGAGCUCCUAAUUCAUUAUAGUCCUUCACGUCUAUUGCGAUCUCAGAAUUCAGGCCAGCUGAUAAUACCUAGAAUAUCAAAAUCAACUGCAGGUGGUAGAUCCUUCUCCUAUUUGGCAACUAAACUCUGGAACAAUCUUCCUAGCAUUGUUCGGGAAGCAGACACACUCUGUCAGUUUAAAUCUAGACUAAAAACGCAUCUCUUUAACCUGGCAUACACAUAACACAUUACCAAUUUAUAUUUCCAAAUCCGUUAAAGGAUUAUUAGGCUGCAUAAAUUAGGUCAGCCGGAACCGGGAACACUUCCUAUAACACCUGAUGUACUCGUUACAUCAGAAGAAGAAUGGCAUCUACGCUAAUAUUAGUCUUUCUGUUUAUCCCGAGGUUCACCGUAGUCAACCGGAUCCGGGCCGUAUCCAGGUGAAACCAAGGACCUGCACCUUGACACGACCACAACGCAGCCCUGAAGUAUCAGCAGAGAUUGAGUCAACUAGAUCAUCCACUGUGAGGGCCUCAUCGACACGACAGCCACGACACAAUUCCUCAACAACCGUCCAUACCGGCGUGAUGAAUACGAUCCUCAAUUGGAUGGAACUGAAAUAAAUACUUUUAAUGUUGCGAUCCUAUUGGACUUAUGAUAGCAACCUGAAUUGUAACAAAGCACUGUUGGCCAGAGGAGAACUGGCACCCCGACUAAGCCUGGUUUCUCCCAAGGUUUUUUUCUCCAUUUUAACACCAAUUUGCCACUUGUCUGCCACCUAAUGUCACCUGAUGGAGUUUGGGUUCCUUGCCGCUGUCGCCUCUGGCUUGCUUAGUUGGGGACACUUGACUUGACAUUUGAUAUUCAACAGUGCUUUUGAUCUGCCUGCAUUGACACUAUUCUUUAAGAGCUGCUGUGCAGCCAAACAAUGUACCAGUUAUCAAUGUAAAGCUGCUUUGACACAAUCUACAUUGUAAAAAGCGCUAUAUAAAUAAAGGUGACUUGACUUGACAAAA